AUUUCUCAAAAAUUUGGCGCCUUUUUGCCUCCAUUAUCAGAAGCUUCAAACACAAUCUUCAACUCAGAAACCCUAGCAGAAGAAUAAUGGUUCUUCCCCAGAACAAGCAAAUCGGUCCACGCAAACGUCCGGCGAAAUUGAAAACUGGAUUCGUUACUCCGUUUGCUCCGCCCAGCAAAAUUCCCAAAUCCGCUGUCGCAAACGAGGAAAAUGUUCCGCAAACAGCAUCGGAAUCGGAAGCGCCAAAGUUAAGACAGUCACAAACUGUAAAUUCUAUUGAGAAAAUGAUUUCAGUUCUAGCAGAUGCCGGCUGUACAUUGAUCAACCCCUCGGGUCCGCCCUGUCUACCAUCUGAUCUACAUAAGCUUCGGAACCAACUCAACAGUCUCUUCUCAUCUGAUUCCUCUCUAAAGUCUGAGUUCCUCCUGGGUCUCUCGUCUUACAUCAACUCUCCAAGUAACCUUCGGCGCAUUUUAACACCUUCAAAACGAGAUGGACUUGGAUCAGUACGGAGUGACAGCCUGGCAAGAGUACUGCUACUGGUUCCUGCAGUCCAGUCAGACAUUCAAAACUUGCUGCUUGAAAAGCUUCCUGAGUACUUUGAUGUGGACCCUGCUGGAAAUAUUGGAGGGAGAUCAUCUUCUUUAUGUCUUGAAGAAGACAUAGCAAGGUUGAUUAUUAACCAAUUCAGGUGGCUUGACUUCCUUGUAGAUUCAGAAGCAUUUACAGAAAAACUGUUUCAAGUAUUAUCGAUUUGCCCGGUUCAUUUGAAGAAGGAGAUAAUUGGGUCCUUGCCCGAGAUUAUUGGGGAGAAAAACAACAAAACAGUUGUAGAUUCGCUUCAGGAGAUGCUUCAAGAGGAUUCUUCAAUUAUUGUUCCCAUGCUUGAUUGUUUCUCUAACCUCCAUCUGGAUGAUAUGUUGCAAGAACAGGUCAUUACAGUGGCGUUAUCUUGUAUCCGAACUAUUGAUGCGGAGCAUACGCCCUACCUAUUGAGAUUCUUACUGCUUUUGGCUACACCAACCAAUACUCGUAGGAUUAUUUCACACAUCAGACAUCAACUGAAACUUGUUGGAGCAUCAAAAGUUUGGACCACACAACAAAGUAAGAUGAAGGGAAAGUCAGUCGUCAACAAUGCAGAAGCUUCAAUACUUGAUGCCUUGCGAACAAGUUUUCGAUUUAAUAAAGUAAUUUGCCAAGAGACAUUGAAUGAACUGAAAAGCCUAGAGAAAGUUCAGGAUCAUAAGAUCAUAGACAUAUGGUUGCUUACGCUUAUAUACAUGAACAACGAGCCUUUACAAAAGAUUGUUGAGAAGUUACUGAAGAAAAAAAUUCUUGAGGGCUGUAUUGUGGAAACUAUGUUUGAUCAAUGUGUUUCUGGGAAUACAGAUUUGACUCGGGAUUAUCUUCCUACCCUCCUUUCCAUUUCUGAUUACUUACUGGCUUGCAAAGAAGAUAAAGUACGGGAAUUCGGCGUUCGCAUGUACACAGAUCUGUUCAAAAACCUUGUGGAUAGUUAUUCAAGACAGGAAGUCCUUGGAACAUUAAUUACUCAUGUGGGCUCUGGGAUAAGUCAUGAAGUGAGUUCUGCUAUGGAUGUGAUGGUCCUCCUAGCCUCGAAGUACUCACAGGAGUUGAUUCCACUUUCUUCUCAUAUAAAUGGCAUCCUAGAUUACUUGGAGACAUUUAGUAUUGGAAACCUGCAUAAGGUGUAUGAAGUCUUCAGUCUUCUGGCAUUUUCUGCUGAAGUGAGUACAGGGCCCUUUGGAUCUCCUAUUUCAAAUGAACUACUAGUGAUUGUGAGAAAGCAGUUGAGUCAUCCCGAUCUUACUUAUAAGAAGAUGGGCUUAAUUGGAACUCUUAAAAUAGUAUCCUACCUUGGGGAUGCAAAAACUACGAAACAUCUUCCAUCAUCUCAGGAGUCAAAUCAUGAGGAAGCUUUGGAGCUCUUGGAAACAUCUAUGAACUCUUGCAAGCAGCUACCACUACCAUUAAUUAUGUUUUAUGAUGAACUGGCUUUAACAUUGAAGAAAAAAGCACUUCAUCCAGCCAUAGUGGAAUGGACAAGCAAACAUGUUGGGGACUUCGAAUCAAAGUUUUUGUGUGACCUCGAUGGUGGGAAGCUUAUGGUCAACGACUUAUAUUGUGGUUUGGAAGGAGACUUAUGGAUGAACCUUGACGGAGACAUAUCUCCUAUAUGUCUCAAUAUCUUGCCACUUGUAUCCUCUUCUUUGCGGGCUGCUUCAUCACUGCAAAUUCUUCCGGCAAACUUUGUUUUGCUAUCUUCAAUUGAGGGGUUGGCAAAUCAAGGAUCUCUUGCAGGAAUUGAUGCACUUCUUGGCUGUCCUAUACACCUUCCUUCCUCUAAGUUCUUCGGUGAACCACUUUGGGGAUCUUUAAGUGGAAAGCAGAAGCAAAUCAUUAUUCUAUCAUUGUACUAUGCUGCCAAUUGGCUGCGGGAACUGCUCAAUGCCUUCUGUACUCAAGCUGUUGAUGAGUGUAGUGCAGUCAGUCAAGCAACAAGAGAGGAGAUAACUCUUAAACUAUUUAAGCGGUUGAGGAACCUUGUAUUUUUGGAGAGCUUGCUAAACAUUUCCCUCAAACAAUGCUCUUUUUCCUUACCUGAACUCCAACCUCAUCUGGAGUCCUUGUCGCCGAACCAACUUGAUCAUAAUAGAGAUCAGGAGAUGAAGAAUGGUAAUGGUAAUGGUAAUGUUGGUCCAUCACAAAAGAAGAAGAAAGAGAAGAAGAGCAGCCAAGCAUCACUUACUGAUGGACAACUUAGGCAGCCAACCAUCAUGGAUGUUUUGAGGAAAGCAGGUGCAGUUCCAAGCCAGGAACCAAGCACCGCUCCUUCUGGAACGUGUUCUAAAGGUAGUGCGCCUGAGCCAUCAGUGAACCAACCACGUAAUGUUAAUAUGUCAGCGAAUGUAGAUGUUUCUACUGCUGUGGAGCAUGUCGAAGCACAAAGACACAAAUUCAGGCCUCUUUUGCUGGAUUGUUUUGCUAUUUUAGCUUUUCAGAAGACUGAGGAUUCCUGCUGUGCAGAUCCAGCUUCUGAGUUGCCCCUUUGUCUUUAUUUUCUGAGGGAUCUAAACAAAAAGCUGGACUACUUCAGUCCACGAAGGCAUAUAUUGGUUAGACGCAUGAGUGUUCCUCCUGCUUUUGGUGAGAUGAAAGUAAUAGAGUUCAUAAGCAAAAUUCAGCCACUAUUUCCUUCCCUUAGAAGACAUUUGGAUUCUGCAGUAUCUGGUGUUAGAAAAGAUACAGACACAUGCCCAGAUCAUUGGAGAACUCAUUCUGCCUUUGCUGGAAAUCCUGAUUUACUCAACAUUACAAGCUUAAGACCAUCAGUAUCUAGAUCUGUCAUAAAAGAGACACUUCAAUGCUUUGGCAAGACGUUAAACAUACCUAAUGUUCAGAGAGACAGGUCAGUACUUUCUGAUCUUCUGGAGGCAUUCCAGCCAAUCAGCAUUUCAGACUGCUUUUUCCAAGGCAUGCAAUUGAUUCCAUCACCAGGAGAUAUAGGUUAUUUAUAUGCUGGUGCAUAUUUAUUUGUUGGGAUCAUCUUUGAUGCAGCAUGUGCUGUCUCAUUUGCUUUGGCUUCCGAAGUAUUGUUAAGCUUGGAAUCAGUUAUUGUGUCUUUCCGGACUAUCCUAGAUAACGAUCUCAACGAUAUUGGAGAAGAUAUUCGUACAGGUUUUUCAAAAGAGCUACUUUCUUUUCUGUCCAAGAAGCUGGGCAGUUCUGCUUACAAACUCUUGAUGCAAAAGUGUGAUGGUGUUAAUGACAUUGAAGAUGGUCAGAAAGUCAGAGCAGAGGUAAUUCAAAAGCUUUUACGAAUUCACUUGGAAAAUUGCCAGUCCACUUCCGAUUCCCUAUGUGAGCUUGCCUGCUCUGUUUUGCCCCAGGUUUCAUCACACAGAUCUGCAUUGGAGGAUCACUGUCGUUUUUCUACUCUCUGUCCUGCAACAUUUUUCAUUUGGUACCGGGUACUGCAUGAAGAGAACCUUGCCAUGAUUAACCGCUUGGUAAAGGAAAUUUCACUUCUGGAGAAAGCCAGGGGUGGUGAAGUGGAAGAUGUCAAAUGCCUUCUGAAGAAACUACAACAAUCUGUUAAUGUGGUUGUUUCUUUAGUCAAUUUGUGCAAGACCCAUGAUAAGGUCAACCUCCGUGCAAUUGCUGUCAAGUUUGGUGGGAAGUUUGUUGACUCUUUCCUCAAAGCUUUUGGCUUCUUACAGGGGCAAUUUGAAUUGCACCGUGAGCAAAUAAUUCAGAUGGUUAGAGAGCUUCAGACAGCAACUAGAACUAUCCAGACGCUUUGUUCAGACGCAAAGGGCAUGAAACAAACAGCAAUAACCAGCAAAAUCCCCAUCACCAAGAGAUCUAUGGAGCGGUUCUUAUUUCGUGUUAAAGAACUUCUUCACUCAACGUCAAGUGGAUGCACCUUUUGGAUGGGCAAUCUGAAGCAUAAAAAUUUGAUGGGGGAUGUAGUUAGCUCCCAAGCAUAUGUAGAUGAUCAAAAAGACAAUAUUGACAAUGUUUCGACAGAAAAUAUGGAUAUAGAUGAACCCACAGAUAUUGCUGGUGAACGAGUACCUAACUAAUUCAAGCAACAAGAGCUGACCCCGAACAAUAUCUCUGACACAGCCACAGUCAACUGAAGAUAAUUAUAGUGAGUUUGCACAUCUUACAGAUUAAGGAUGUGAAGAAAUGUUAUAGUUGCAGUCAGGGAUUGUUAGCAAUAUUUGUUGCAUCAUUUCUCAGAUGGGCAAUCAAGCAUGGGAUUAUCCUAGGUUUCACACCAGCAUCUCUGUCGCAUCUAUUGUUGCAAAGCUUCUGCAGAGUGUCCUUCUGAUACAUAUCCUAUAUGGUUUGUAAGUAGCCUCAAUCUCAAAAGUUAUGCUCGAUACCUCCCUCUCUCCUUGUAUUUCCUGAAUGCCCUACCAUGGAUAAUGUAAAUACACCUUUUUUUGGAACUAGAAAAUUUGCUGAAAACAAUUAGCUUGUGUUGGAUUCUGGUUAACUUGAAUUGAGCUUGAGAAUUGUACAUCUAUGUAGCCUCAUUCAACCGAUAGUCCUAAUGAAGAAUACUAGAAACUCAAGCUCAUAUUCUCCUUCUUCA